AGGAUGAACGCUGGCGGCGUGCUUAACACAUGCAAGUCGAACGAACCUUCGGGUUAGUGGCGGACGGGUGAGUAACGCGUGGGAAUCUGCCCUCAGGAGGGGGAUAACGGCUGGAAACGGCCGCUAAUACCCCAUAUGCCGAGAGGUGAAAUGAAUUUCGCCUGAGGAUGAGCCCGCGUCUGAUUAGCUAGUUGGUGAGGUAAGAGCUCACCAAGGCAUCGAUCAGUAGCUGGUCUGAGAGGAUGAUCAGCCACACUGGGACUGAGACACGGCCCAGACUCCUACGGGAGGCAGCAGUGGGGAAUUUUCCGCAAUGGGCGAAAGCCUGACGGAGCAACGCCGCGUGAGGGAUGAAGGCCUCUGGGCUGUAAACCUCUUUUCUCAAGGAAGAAGAUCUGACGGUACUUGAGGAAUAAGCCACGGCUAAUUCCGUGCCAGCAGCCGCGGUAAUACGGGAGUGGCAAGCGUUAUCCGGAAUUAUUGGGCGUAAAGCGUCCGCAGGCGGCCCUUCAAGUCUGCUGUUAAAAAGUGGAGCUUAACUCCAUCAUGGCAGUGGAAACUGUUGGGCUUGAGUGUGGUAGGGGCAGAGGGAAUUCCCGGUGUAGCGGUGAAAUGCGUAGAUAUCGGGAAGAACACCAGUGGCGAAGGCGCUCUGCUGGGCCAUAACUGACGCUCAUGGACGAAAGCCAGGGGAGCGAAAGGGAUUAGAUACCCCUGUAGUCCUGGCCGUAAACGAUGAACACUAGGUGUCGGGGGAAUCGACCCCCUCGGUGUCGUAGCCAACGCGUUAAGUGUUCCGCCUGGGGAGUACGCACGCAAGUGUGAAACUCAAAGGAAUUGACGGGGGCCCGCACAAGCGGUGGAGUAUGUGGUUUAAUUCGAUGCAACGCGAAGAACCUUACCAGGGUUUGACAUCCUGCGAACCUCUUGGAAACGAGAGGGUGCCUUCGGGAACGCAGUGACAGGUGGUGCAUGGCUGUCGUCAGCUCGUGUCGUGAGAUGUUGGGUUAAGUCCCGCAACGAGCGCAACCCACGUCUUUAGUUGCCAGCAUUUAGUUGGGCACUCUAGAGAGACCGCCGGUGAUAAACCGGAGGAAGGUGUGGAUGACGUCAAGUCAUCAUGCCCCUUACAUCCUGGGCUACACACGUACUACAAUGCUACGGACAAAGAGCAGCAAGUUCGCGAGGACAAGCAAAUCUCAUAAACCGUGGCUCAGUUCAGAUCGUAGGCUGCAACUCGCCUACGUGAAGGAGGAAUCGCUAGUAAUCGCAGGUCAGCAUACUGCGGUGAAUACGUUCCCGGGCCUUGUACACACCGCCCGUCACACCAUGGAAGUUGGCCACGCCCGAAGCCGUUACUCCAACCCUCGGGAGGAGGACGUCGAAGGUGGGGCUGAUGACUGGGGUGAAGUCGUAACAAGGUAGCCGUACCGGAAGG
rnacentral:rRNA from 2 species